CACGGGUGCGUAACGCGUAACCAACCUGCCCUUGACUGGGGGAUAGCCCGCCGAAAGGCGGAUUAAUACCGCAUAAACUAGCAAUCUGGCAUCAGAUAACUAGUAAAGAUUUAUUGGUCAAGGAUGGGGUUGCGUGACAUUAGCUAGUUGGCGGGGUAACGGCCCACCAAGGCGACGAUGUCUAGGGGACCUGAGAGGGUGAUCCCCCACACUGGCACUGAGAUACGGGCCAGACUCCUACGGGAGGCAGCAGUAGGGAAUAUUGGGCAAUGGGCGAGAGCCUGACCCAGCCAUGCCGCGUGCCGGAUGAAGGCCUUCUGGGUUGUAAACGGCUUUUCUCAGGGAAGAAAAAGGGCAUGCGUGCUCAACUGACGGUACCUGAGGAAUAAGCACCGGCUAACUCCGUGCCAGCAGCCGCGGUAAUACGGAGGGUGCAAGCGUUGUCCGGAUUUAUUGGGUUUAAAGGGUGCGUAGGCGGCCCGUUAAGUCCGGGGUGAAAGCCCACAGCUCAACUGUGGAACUGCCCUGGAUACUGGCGGGCUUGAGUCCAGACGAGGUUGGCGGAAUGGAAGAUGUAGCGGUGAAAUGCAUAGAUAUCUUCCAGAACCCCGAUUGCGAAGGCAGCUGACUAGGCUGGUACUGACGCUGAGGCACGAAAGCGUGGGGAGCGAACAGGAUUAGAUACCCUGGUAGUCCACGCCGUAAACGAUGGAUACUCGCUGGUGGCGAUAGACAGUCACUGGCUUA
rnacentral:rRNA from 1 species